rnacentral:rRNA from 1 species
CCCUGCUCAAUGGUAUACUAAAUAGCCGCAGUACUUUGACUGUGCAAAGGUAGCAUAAUCAUUUGGCUUAUAAUUGAAGUCUGGUAUGAAUGGGUAACUGGAUAAAAACUAUCUUUCCACAAUAAAUUGAAUUUACUUAGUAAGUGAAAAUUCUUACUAAAAAAAAAUAGACGAGAAGACCCUAGAAAUUUUUUAAAUAUAUAUUAAGAUAUUUUAUUUUGUUGGGGCGACAGGGUAGCAAUAUAACCUACCUAUAAUUGAUAUAAAAUUAUUUAAAGAUAUAAAUAAAUUACUCUAGGGAUAACAGCAUAAUACAUAAGAGUUUGUGACCUCGAUGUUGGACUAGGUAAAUUAAUGUCUAGAAGAUAUUAAUUUAGGCUCUGUUCGAGCUAUAAUACCUACGUGAUCUGAGUUCAGACCGGA